AGAUCCAAUAUCUAUUUUAUUUAUCACUAGACCUAACUUUUGGAGUUAGCUAUGCUUCUUUCUUUUUACUAAUUUAUUAUUAUUAUUAUUUGAAUAUUAAAUUAGUGUUUUUGUCUUUUUAAUUUUGAUGUGUUAAUUAGGUUUUCUAAGUUUUGCAGACAAUCCUAGGUUAAGAAAAAGUGGGCUUACAUGGAGGCGGUGGGGAGUGGCUAUUAGAUCUUUUUUUAUUUUAUUUUAGUUUU
rnacentral:lncRNA from 1 species